rnacentral:lncRNA from 1 species
AGAAGGCACAAGACGAAUUAGACAUUCAGGUUGGCACUGAAAGGCAAGUGAAUGAAUCAGACAUGAGGAAUUUGGUUUACUUGCAGGCCAUUAUCAAGGAAACAAUGCGUUUAUACCCUGCUGGACCACUUUUACUACCUCACGAGUCUAUAGAAGAAUGCAUCGUCAAUGGUUACCUCGUCCCUGCAGGCACCCAACUGUUUGUUAACGCCUGGAAGAUUCAACGCGAUCCAUGUGUUUGGGAGGAGCCAUGUCAAUUUCAGCCAGAAAGAUUUCUUACUAGGCAUAAGGAUAUUGAUGUUGGGGGACAAGAUUUUGAAUUGAUACCAUUUGGGAGUGGAAGAAGAAUGUGUCCUGCAGUGUCAUUUGGCCUCCAAGUUAUGCAACUAAUGCUUGCUUCAUUAGUGCAUGGGUUUGAUUUUACAACCCCAUCAGAUGAACCGGUUGACAUGGGAGAGGCAAUGGGCCUAACCAUUGCUAAGGCUACUCCGCUUGAAGUGCUUGUUAGUCCGCGCCUUUCUGCUUCUUUAUAUGGUUAAAAUUAGCUUGUGUACUUGUUAAUGGAAAUAAUUAAGUUGUACUUUUCAACAACUAAGGUGCGUUUAUAUCAUUGGGUGUCAUCACUGUGCGUUUAGCACACUGCAUAUGUUAAAGGUGAGUUUGGCAUAUUAUACUAUCUUGUAUUAUUGAACGUUUAGUAAGUUGCUUUUGACUGUAUUAUAUUAACAUUAUAUAUAUUGUGUUAAUAGUGUAUAAUAUUUGGUAUUAUUUUGUACUAUAUUAAUUUUUAUGUAUCCUAUAUUUUGUGUUGCAUUGCAUUGCAUUAUAUUAAUUCUUUUGGUAAAAAUUUUAAAUUAUAAGUUGGGAAAAAAAUUAAUUAGUACUUAGAAAAAUGAUAAAAUAGAUGUUCUGAAUUUUAUAAUUUUUUACAUAAAUUAUUUUUAGUAUAAAUGUAAAAAAUAUCAUAAUUCUUUUGAACGUAUGUAAAAUUAAGAAAUUCUACAAUUUUUGGUGUGUGUGUGUGUAUGAGCAGUUCUCAAAUAUUUAUCUUGUGAAAUAAAGAUCCAAGAAAAUAAUUCAAUCAAAUAACCUUUAAAAAUUAUCAUAACAUAAAUAAAUAGAUAAAGCCAUCUCAUAAUAAAGAUCACAACAAAUUUUUUUUACAAAUACCACAACAUACUAGAACCCUAAUCACUUAUGGGAAUGAGGUGAAAUGGGAAUGGGGAAUGAGAAUCAUACUAUAUUGUUUAUUUGAGACAAGAAUCGGAAUCACAAUGGGUUGAAAUCUCAUUGAUAUGUUUAUAUUUUCUCUUGGAAUCAGAAUCAUAAUAAGUUAAAUUAUUUCAAGUAACUAAAGUACCCUUAGUUAAUUAUAAUAAUAACUAUUUAUUAUUAUGAUGAUGAUGAUGAUGAUGAUAAUGAUGUUGAUUAUUAUUAUUAAUAAUAAAAUUUCUGUUAAUAAAUUAAUUAGUUAUAUUCAUAUGUUGUUAGUAUAUUAAUUAAUUAAAAUUUAUUAUUAUUAAUAAUAAUAAAAUUAAUAACAAUAAUCAUAAUAAUAAUAAUAAAAAUAAAAUAUCAUCAUCAUCAACAAAAUAAUCCUUUUUCAAAAUAAUAAUAAUAAUCAUCAUCAAAUUAAUCCAUUUCCCAAAUAAUCAUCGUCAAAAAAAAAUAAUCCAUUUCCCAAAAAAAAUUAUAGCAAUAAUCAAAAUCGAAAUUGUCAUCGUCAUCAACAACAACGGCAACAACAAUCAUCGUCAUUAGCAGCAGCAGCAUCAUCAUAUCAGAACUACCACCAUCAGAGGCGAAAUCUAAGAUAAAAUGAGAUGGGGGCGAAAUUAAGACAACGACGAAAUUGACACGGCCCAACGGAUAUGAAAGGGGUGGGCGUUUGGAUCGGGUUGACCCGAUCCAAACCGAACUCAAAAUUUAUUUCGAUUUUGGUUCGGUUCGGGUUGAAACUUACAACUCAUUUGGGUUAAAAAUCUAAACCCGAUUGGGUCAAAAAAAUUUAAAAUCAUAAACAUAAACAUAAACCCAACCCUAACCUAACAACUCCCAAACACACACUUCUCACUUUCUGAUCCGCCACUUGACUUUUCCACUUCUUCUUCUUCAUCUUCUUUUCUCUUUCUUCUUCUUCUUUUCCUUUUUUUCCUCCACUGACAAAUGUCAUCUUCUUCUUUUCUUUUUCUUCUCUUUUUCUUCUUCUUAUUUCCGUACACACUGCCAGACAUCUUCUUCUUUUUCUUCUUCUUUCCUUCAGCUAUUGCCAAUCAUCAUCAUCAUCAUCUUCUUCUUCUUCUUAUUAUCUUCCUCCAUUGCCAAAUAAUUCUUCUGCAUUUUUUGAUCUCCAUUAAUUAAUUGUUUAAUAAUUUAUUUUUAAUUGUUAGUUAAUUUCUUAGUUUUCUUUUGUUAAUUGUUGUUUUUUUGUUAAAUGUUAAAUUUAGAUUUCUAUACAUUAAUCAGUUAAUUUUUAAAUAAGAUUAUAGGAAAUUUGUGUGAUGUUUAGUUAAUUUUUUUCAUUUUUUGGAUGAGAUAAAAUUAUGGUUACAUAAUAUAAACGAACUCGAAUUUAUAACCCAAACCAAAUCAAAUCGAAUUAAAUUUGGUUUAAUUUGGUUCGGGUUUGUAGUUUGAACCCGAUUGGGUUGAAUCUUCCAAACCGAAUGGGUUGAAACCCAAACCGAAACCCGAACAACCCGAACCGAAAUCUAAUUUGCCCACCCUAUAUAUGAAACUAGCAACUAGUAGCUGUCCACAACCGACGAACCAUGAUGGCAAAGAUGGUGAUGGCCAUGAUGGCAAUCGAAGCACUCCAAUGGCAUUUGAUUGGGAGGCAUGGGCAAGAGAGUUUAAGUUUAGGGAUUUUUUUAUUUUUUAUCUAAAGUGAGGGUAUUUUUGGAAUAAAAAAAAUUAAUGCGGGCAAAAUGGAAAAUGUUGGGAAUGAGAAUCAGAUUCCCAUACUGAUUCUCAAAUUGCUGUGGGGUCCUCCAAAAUGAAUCUCAUUUCGGAUUCUUUCCUAGUCCAUUUUUUUCUCUCUUAAUCUCUCUCAGUAUUUCAAUUCUAGUUUUAAAAAAAUUGACUUAAUGAUAAACAAAGUGAAACAAGUCUGCCUAAAUUAUUAACAUUAAAAUUCAAAAAUUCAAGAGUCAAUCUUGACUACUCAUUUUCUUAGGAGAGACUAGUAGAGAAAAAAGAUUUGAAGAGGGUUCACAUUCGAAGAUAUAAAUGAUACAUUAUACAAGAUCUUUAAACAUUAUCUGAUAUGUCAUUACGUUUAUAAAGAACAAGUCAUUCAAUUUUCACUCUCGAGUAAAGAUUAUACAAAAUGUUGUCUGCCAUAAAACUAUAAACGACAUGUCAUAUAUAUACCGUAUGUGAUGAAUUUGUUAACAAAGCCAAAUCUCUCUAAUCAUACGUCUAUAUUAAGAAACACAAAUAAGAGAUUCCAAGAACUUGUUAACACCCUUUUGGAAUAAUUGAUUUUGGAUUUUCAUACUUGGAUAAUGGCUUUUGCUUGGAUACCUCUCCAAUCACUCCAACCGUUUCACACAAUUGAUUGAAUUUCACUUGCUUGAUUUAUAUUACAUCGAGAUUUUGAGCCCGGCAUGGUUAAGGAGUUUUAAAAGUGUAAAAAAUUGGGUGAUUGAAAAAUGAUAGAGCUGAAAAUGAGGGAAAAUUUAGAAUUAUGGAAAUUUUAUUGGGGAAGAAAAAGUAUUUUAAACUCAAUGAUGGGGUGAUUAAGAAAUAGACUGAAUAAAAAAUAAAAAGAAUUUGAAUAUCAUCAGUCAAAUUUAAUUGUUUAUUAUUAAAAACAUUAACCGAUGAUUUCUAUUUAAAGAAAUAAUAUUUAAGUCCCUCAAGUUUUUUUAUUUUUAACUAUUUGUAUCUUUUUCUAAACCUUAUUAUACUCAUAAGAUAUCAAUAAUUAAUGUUCAAAAUGACUUUUUCUAAAUAUUAAAACAAUUAUUAUUAUUAUUAUUAUUAUUAUUAUUAUUAUUAUUAUUAUUAUUUGUUGUAAUAUAGUGGUGGGGACAAAAAUCUAAGGGUGAAAAAAAAUUGGUAUUUAAUAGAAUUUUCGCAAUGACAAAAAGCUGAGUGGACCCAAGUGAUAAAACUGUUUAAUUGAUGGACAAAAGAUCAAUUUUUAUUUGUGUUGCUGACCCCGUAGUUUGGUUUACGCUUCCUGACCCAUGAUAUUCAAGACCAUGCACUUUUGUCAUCCCAGACAAUUUUUCAUAAUUAAGGGUGUGUUUGGAAGUAACGUAAUGUAGCUUUUAAGCUGUAUUUGUUAUGGAGUAAAAGUUAGAGUUGUGAAAUAAAAGUUAGAAAAAAAAUUUUACUAAGCUGCCAAAUCCCAACUAUAAAUUUUACCAAACACUUUAAUAGCUGGACUUUGAGAACCCAGUUAUCUCACCACACUCCCAAACAGGCUAUAAAAUAAAACAAGUGCCGUGUUCUGUGGCUGAUAUUUAUAGCACAUGGAGUUUACCAAGUCCUCCCAUAAAAAUAUCAUAUCCCAACAUAAUCUUCAACCAUUUUAACGGUUAAAAUUACAAGAGAAGUCGUAUUUAUGUUUUAUCACAAUUGUUUGGCAACCACCAAAUUGGCCGUAUAAAGUCAUUGAUGAAUCAGAAAAAGAUACCAUUGUCGAAAACUUGGCCAUUGUGGUCCCUGAUGUAUAAAACUGACCAUAGGAUUAGCAAAGGUUUGUCAAUGAGCAGAACUUGCGUUCACGUCAAGCACACUUGAAUGUUAUCUAUAUACUGUAUAGACAUUGCUCUGAACUAAACUCUUCAUUCAGAGUCCCCGAGUCGGCUGCAAAGGAAUGGCCAUGAAUAAUCUUUCAACAGAAUCAACUGCUGCUGUAGCAAUUUCAGCCUUAGGGAUAUUCCUCUCAAUUUUCCUCUUGAUUUCAAGAAAUGGGCAAAAAAGGACACUCAAGAAUAAGCAACAAGCACCGGUAGCAGGGGGAGCAUGGCCUUUGAUAGGCCACCUACAUCUCUUACGAGGGCCAGAGCCAGCUCACAGAGUUUUGGGGCGACCUGCAAAAGCUUUGUCAUUUGUGGUAAAACACUCCUUAGCAAUUUCCCAGUUGCUCACCACUAAAGCCUGCUCUACUCAUAAAAGCUCUACUUAAAUAGCUCUAUUUGGAAAGCUAUAUCAAAUAGAGCCUUAGUGAACAUUAACCUACUUCGAAGGACAUUGAGCAUGGGAUAAUUGCAUAAGCCUGAACUUUUAUUUUUUCAUUUCUCAAANNNNNNNNNNNNNNNNNNNNNNNNNNNNNNNNNNNNNNNNNNNNNNNNNNNNNNNNNNNNNNNNNNNNNNNNNNNNNNNNNNNNNNNNNNNNNNNNNNNNNNNNNNNNNNNNNNNNNNNNNNNNNNNNNNNNCCUGGCUGACAAAUAUGGAACAAUAUUCACUAUGAAGUGGGGGGUGAAACAAGCUUUAGUGGUGAGCAACUGGGAAAUUGCAAAGGAGUGUUUUACCACAAAUGACAAAGCUUUUGCAGGUCGCCCCAAAACAAUGGCCGUAGAGCUUAUGGGGUACAACUUUUUGGUCAUAGGCUUCGCGCCAUAUGGCAACUACUGGCGUCAGUCACGUAAGAUAGUGACAAUUGAGCUUCUGUCAAAUCGUCGCCUUGAGAAGCUCAAACACGUACGUGAAUCGGAAGUGAAGGCUUCAAUCCAGAGGUUAUACAAGAAUUGCAUAAGUAGCAGCAGUUCACGUAAAGUAGUUUCGGUGGAGAUGAUCCAUUGGCUCGAGGGCACAGCACUUGACAUUAUUUUGAGAAUAAUUGCCGGAAAACGUCACACUUCACAAUCAGAAGAGGCUAAUGAUUGGCAACAGCAAAUAACAAAGAUCGCUGCCUUGUUUGGUCAGUUCGUGGUGUCCGAUGCGUUGCCAUUUCUGAGACGGUUAGAUAUCGGUGGAUAUGAGAGAUUAAUGAGCAAGACAGCUAAAUAUUUUGACAUCAUUUUGCAAGAAUGGGUGGAUGAGCACAAGAUGAAAAGAGUUUCUGGUGAAAUCAAGGGCGACGAGGAUUUCAUAUAUGUGUUGUUGUCCUUGCUCGAUGAUAAUGCAGAGCAGCUUCCUGAUCGCGAUGCUGACACUGUCAUUAAAGCAAUCUGCUUGGUAUAAUAUAACCUCAUGAAAAGCUUGUGGUGUGUUUGUGUUUGCAUUGUUAUAGGAAUGUCACAGAUUUCUUACUGCUUUUAAUUUGCAGACUCUAAUCGUAGCGGCUACAGACACCACAGCAGUUACAUUGACAUGGGCUAUUGCUUUGCUUCUGAACAAUCCCGAUGUUCUGAAGAAGGCACAAGACGAAUUAGACAUUCAGGUUGGCACUGAAAGGCAAGUGAAUGAAUCAGACGAGGAAUUUGGUUUACUUGCAGGCCAUUAUCAAGGAAACAAUGCGUUUAUACCCUGCUGGACCACUUUUACUACCUCACGAGUCUAUAGAAGAAUGCAUCGUAAAGGUGAGUUUGACAUGUUAUAUUACAUUGUAUUAUUUAACGUUUGGUAAGUUGCUUUUGACUGUAUUAUGUUAACAUUGUAUUAUAUUAAUGCUAUAUAAUAUUUGGUACUAUAUUGUACUAUAUUAAUUUUUAUUUAUCUUAUCUUUGGUGUUGCAUUGCAUUGUAUUAUAUUAAUUCUUUUGGUUAAAAAUUUAAAUUACAAGUUGGGACAAAAUAUUAAUUAGUACUUAGAAAAAUGAUAAAAUAGAUGUUGUAAAUUUUAUAAUUUUUUACAUCAAUUAUAUUUUAGUAUAAAUGUAAAAAAUAUCACAAUUCUUUUGAACAUAUGUAAACUUAAGAAAUUCUAAAAUUUUUGGUGUGUGUAUAUAUAUAUAUACACACAAAGGAGCAGUUCUAAAAUAUAUAUAUUAUGAAAUAAAGAUUAAAAAAAAUAAUUCAAUCAAAUAAUCUCUAAAAAUCAUCAUAACAUAAAUAAAUAGAUAAAAGCCAUCUUAUGAUAAAGAUGACAACAAAAGCAUUUACAUAUACCACAACAAACUAGAACUCUAAUCACUAAAUAAAAUGGAUUGAACAAUGCACCAAACUCAGUUCAAUUUAUAGCUGGAGGACGUUCUAAUUCUGUUAGUUCUUCCAGGGCUCUGGCUCACUGGUGGUUCCAUGAGCCCCUAUGGACGGGCCCUCUUCAUGAUGUUACACACAUCACAGAAAUUAAAUUCAGCUGAGAAGUGGGAUGGCUUGGUAAUGGCACAUGAACUGAUCUGGGAAAAAUUUUAUCACGGAUGACAGAUGAAAGUGACCCCAGAUUGCCAUUUGGAUACAUCAAACUGGAUGAGGUCCUUGACUUACGUUAAUUUCUUCGGUUUGUUAAAUGACAAUCCUAUUCUUCUGUCAUUUAUUCUGCAUUGUUGUGUUGAAAUUCCAUGUAGUUGGUGAUUUUUCUAACUUCAUUAGAUGGCAAGCCGUGCAAAGAUGAAUUCUCCUCCCCUAGAGACCAUGAUGAGCACCAUGCAAAAGGUAUUCUUGCAGUAGACUCUUUAAAGUGUUUAUUACAUACCAAGCCUUUGUGUCAUAUGAAGGAUUGAUAUCUUGGGAAAGCUGUAAAAUAAGGCAGCUAUUCUUCCCUCAACUGGGCAUAAAGAAACGAUGUCCACAGCUCCAUUCUGCAUUUCCUUGUAUGACCAUGCCUAGUGACUAUUGCAGGAGGGAUACGUAGCAAGCAGGUCACACAUUGCUUCCAAUUCAAUCAAGACAAAUUGUCCCAUGGUAGUAUGCAUCAGGAUCGCCAAGGAACUGCAGGGCUGCCAGAAAACAUAGGCUAAGUGAUGUUGGUAUGGACAAGACUGGCAGCAGAAGCCAUGCCUAGCGAUGUAACUGCGUCUCCGUAGGCAGGAGUUGAUUGCCCAUAUGCACCCAAGGGAUUUUUUUUUUGGCCAACUGCAAGAUUUUGGACGAACGGAACGAAGGCCGCAAUGAAUUAUGAAAAGGGUGGAUUAAAAUGAUUUUAAUUAUAUUGACUUGGAAGAAACCGAUUCCUGAGUUUCAGUCAAAAAUUAUGAAUUGAUUUUAAUAUAGUUUCAUACAAGGUAUACUUUGAUGCAAUUAUCACCGAUUAACUAAUAUAACAUAAUUAAAUUUAAAUUCAUUUUCUUUAAAUAAAUCAAUACACAUCAUAGCUGAAAAUAUAGACUUAGGAUUCUUUCCUAGUCUUUUUUUUUCCCUCUCGUAGUCUCUCUCAAUAUUCCAAUUCUAGUUUAAAAAAAAAUUAACUUAAUUGUAAACAAAGUGAAACCUAAAUUAUUAACAUUAAAAUUCAAAAAAUUCAAGAGUCAAGACUACUCAUUUUAUUAAGAGAAGCUAGUAGAGAAAAAAGAUUCGAAGAUGAGAAGUGGGAUGGGUUGGUAAUGGCACAUGAACUGAUUUGGGAAAAAAUUUAUCACGGAUGACAGAUGAAAGUGACCCCAGAUUGCAAUUUGGAUACAUCAAACUGGAUGAGGUCCUUGACUUUCGUUAAUUUCUUCGGUUUGUUAAAUGACAAAACUAUUCUUCUGUCAUUUAUUCUGCAUUGUUGUGUUGAAAUUCCAUGUAGUUGGUGAUUUUUCUAACUUCAUUAGCUGGCAAGCCGUGCAAAGAUUAAUUCUCCUUCCUUAGAGACCAUGAUGAGCACCAUGCAAAAGGUAUUCUUGCAGUAGACUCUUUAAAGUGUUUGUUGAGUAAUAAAAAGUAUCAGUCAGACAUCUCCCCAUUUCUUAGCCGAUGGCGAGUUUACCUAACUGAGGAUAACGAGCAGAUUCCUAGUCGUGUAUUUUUUAUGGAGCACGAGCCGACCAGAAGUGAAUACCGACCAAGUACUCGUCACUAAAAGAAAGAGGACACAAUCUCACGAACACACGACAGUUUCGCCAUGCCCCAAACCACAGGGGAGAACGCGUUUACCCACGUUUGCCCACAUUCGGUGGUUGAAGACCCAUGAAGGUCCAUGAUCACCUGAAUAUGACAGGCAUGAAAAAUACUCAGAGAACGUGGGAUGAUUGCCUACAAGAAACUGAGAAAUCAAUGAAAAAAAAGGGACAAAAAUUGAGAGAAAAUGGGAAACUCUACCAAAUUAAUACCAAAAUUUAUUUUGUACAAAUCCUUAACAUAUUUGGUGUUAAGAAUAUUGCAGUUAAUCUGUGCAACUUGAAUCGUACUGUUUUCCCGCAAACACCUUGUACUGACUUAAGCAUCAGAGGGUUUACGCCGUAAAAACCACCGGCGUCUCUGAUUUGUUUUUGUGAAUGCAGGUGAGGAAGGAAGAAGAUAAGUCAUUUAAGUUUUAGGAGCUUGGAAAAGUGCAGAAGCUUGUGAAGCAUAGCCUUCUCAUCAUCCUCGACACAAACGUUGGUGAUUCGAUCUGGUCGGGCAAAGGGCGACCUAAUUUCAGCAUCAACAAUGUUUAUUACAUACCAAGCCUUUGUGUCAUAUGAAGGAUUUAUAUCUUGGGAAAGCUGUAAAAUAAGGCAAUUAUUCUUCCCUCAACUGGGCAUAAAGAAACAAUGUCCACAGCUCCAUUCUGCAUUUCCUUGUAUGACCAUGCCUAGUGACUAUUGCAGGAGGGAUACGUAGCAAGUAGGUGACACAUUGCUUCCAAUGCAAUCAAGACAAAUUGUCCCAUGGUAGUAUGCAUCAGGAUCACCAAGGAACUUCAGGGCUACCAGAAAACAUAGGCUAAGUAAUGUCGGUAUGGACAAGACUGGCAACAGAAGCCAUGCCUAGCUUUUCCAGAAGUACUCAGAAUUUAGCGAUGUAAUUGCGUCUCCGCACACAGGAGUUAUUGCCCAUAUGCACCCAAGGGUUUUUUUUUUUUUUGGCCAACUGCAAGAUUUUGAACGGAACGAAGGACGCAAUGAAUUAUGAAAAGGGUGGAUUAAAAUGAUUUUAAUUAAAGUGCUGCUAUUUAGACUUAAGGAAGACAAAAAGAAGACAGAAAUGUUUCGUGUCCUCUCUCUCUUUAGAAAAUGAGCACGCGUGAAUUCCAAAUUGGGCCCACAAUCAGUUUAAAAAAUUAAAUUGAGCAUGGCGCGUGAGCCAAUAAAGCAUUUAACAAUCAAUUUUUUUUGUCCUCUCUCUCUCUGCAUCUCUCACCUCUCUUUUAGUUGUGCAUUUAACGUGAGCCAUAUUUUGCAUUUAACAAAGACAAAUCAGUUUCAUGUCCUCUCUAUCUCUCUGCAUCUCGCUUAUUAAUUUCUGUAUUUCCAACUGCUCAAUUUCAGCAACCAAAAAAAAAAAAAGGGCCAUAAGGAAGAAGUUAGAUCUGGAUCUGCAAACAAAGGCAAAUAUAGGGGUUUAUUAACUAUAUAUUGAUAUGCAAUCAUAUUUGGUUUAGAAUAUGUGGAUAGUUGAGGACAUUUGUCGCCUCAAUUCCCUUUUUCACCCCUUUCUUCAAUUUGAGAAGAUUCAAGGAAACCAAGUUCAUCAAAAAGAAAAUAUAUGACAUGUGAUUUUGCGUUGAAUAGUACAUGGAAUUUUUAAUGCUAUUUUUGGCAGGGAGCAAAGGGGUUGGCUAUACUUUUGUAUUGUUUUAAGCAUAAAUUAAUUACCCAUAAUCUGUACUUUAUGUAUUGCUAAUUUAGUAUUCAAGCGAGUCAUAUGCACAUUUAACUUCACUAAGCAUGAAGUUACAAAUCAAAAGAAAAAAAAAAAAAGCGGUUGGGCGAGAACAAGAAGCGGUCGUCAUCCGGUAACGAAGGGAACGAAGGGAGUGAUGGGGAUGAAGUUAACAAAAGGAACGAAAGGAGGGGACGAAGUUAACGAAGUGCUACCGUUUCCAAACGAAGAAAAUGAGUGGCUGGGGAGGGAGGAGAUAUUGCUAGAUAACGUAUAAGGAAAAAGAUAAAACUAAAAGGAAAAAAUUUGAGCUGCUUUUUCAUUUUUUUAUUCUUUAUUUUAUUAUUUAUUGUGGUCCCAUGCAUUUAUAAAUUGGCCUAAGGGAACGCAUGAAACAACAAGCUCACGCCACCGUUUCUAUCGUCCUUUAGUCUUUCUUUAGUUUGUUUAUCAUUUUUCUUUUAAUUAUAUUGACUUGGAAGAAACCGAUUCCUGAGUUUCAGUAAAAAAUUAUGAUUUGAUUUUAAUAUAGUUUCAUACAAGGUAUACUUUGACGCAAUUAUCACCGAUUAACUAAUAUAACAUAAUUAAAUUUAAAUUAAUUUUGUUUAAAUAAAUCAAUACAUAUCAAUUCAUCAUAGCUGAAAAUAUAGACUUAGAAUUCUUUCCUAGUCUUUUUUUUUUCCUCUCAUAGUCUCUCUCAAUAUUCCAAUUCUAGUUUUAAAAAAAAUUGACUUAAUUGUAAACAAAGUGAAACAAGUCUGCCUUAAUUAUUAACAUUAAAAUUUAAAAAAAUUUCAAGAGUCAAGACUACUCAUUUUAUUAAGAGAGGCUAGUAUAGAAAAAAGAUUUGAAGAGGAUUCACGUUCAAAAAUAUAAAUGAUACAUCAUACAAGAUCCUUAAACAUUAUCUAAUAUGUCUUACAUCUAUAAAUGACAAGUCAUUUAAUUUUCACUGUGGAGUAAAGAUUGUACAAAAUGUUAUCUCCCAUAAAACUAUAAACGACAAUUUUACUCCAAAUAAAAAUCAACAACAUUUUACCUAUUUCGUAUCUUAAUUUCUUUUAAAUUCCAACUGAUGUAACAUUUAUUUAUUAAAUGGUAAAUUAAAAAUUUCACGAGUUAUGAAGUUCAUCAUAAUGAGUUAUAUAAUAUUAAGAGUCAAGUUGAAACUCAAAUAUUAAAACUCCUAAAUUAGCUAAGUAACAUAAAAUUAAGAAACUCAUUAAAUAUGUAUAAAUGUUUAUAAUUAACUUAUUUUGCAGCUAAUUUUUCCAACUUGAAAACAUGUUAAUUCCAAAGGUCCCUUAAGAUGAAGAUUCCGAAUUUCACCUUAACCUUGGUGUGACAGUAAGCUUGACUUGAUAACCUUAAAAGGGUAAAAAACUAGAGCCUAUCAAACUUAAUGGACCAAGUGUGAAAUACGUUCUCAAUAUACUGAAAUGAAUUCCUACCACUACAAAAUUUUAUAAUUCUCAUUGAAAUUAAAAAUCCUAAAAAUUUAACAAUAAUUCUUAAGACUUUGAAAACGAAUGAGCGGGAAACAUUGAAACUUCCUACACAAAAUUCAAGUUCUUCUGGGUAUCUAAAAGUAUAAUAACAGAUUAAGAAUGGGAAUAGACUUCAUGGGCGAACUGGAACUCCAAUGGCUGGGCGUGGCGCUUGACCAGGCUGACCAGGCUUUGGCAAAUCAUCCUGAAAAGAAAAAGGGAAAAAAAAGAAAAAAAAAUAUAAGAGCCAAUGAAGAAAAUUUUCAAGUACGCGAGCACAAACGAAGACCAUAUAAAACUGACAAGCUUAACCAUUUUUCAAAUGCUACAGAUAUCACACAGCAAUUAUCCCAAGACCAAAAACACAUCCUCAAUUUGGGCUUUUAGUUCUCGUAAAACAAAGGAAAAAGCUACCACACAGAGGCACAACACUGUCUCCUUUUUUUCCUCUUUCCUCCGCACCACCCCUCCCCCCUUUCUCUUAGGUUAACUCAGAAUUAUGCAUUUUAAACUGGCUGAAUCAGGAUAUUACUACUAGCAAGGAAAUCCUUAUGAUAAAGCACACUAGGUAAAAGGUCUAUCUGCCUACGUCUAUAACCCGUAAAUCAUUCUAAAAAUCAAUAUGAACAGAGACCAUUAGCCAAAAUCCUGAUUAAAAAAUCUCAAUAGAAACAUGAAAAAGAUACCCUGCGUCUCAUAAAACGCUUUGGUGGUUCACGGUUCCUGCGGUCAGUGCGUGAGCGAACCCUCACCACAUGCGAGUGAAUUGCACAGGAGACACAGUACGGCAUCUUUGCAUACAACUUAAGCAGAACAUAGUCUGCAUCGAAUUCAAAAGAUUCCCAUUAUUUCCCAUUCAAACAAUACAUAAUUAAUUACAAAAUAAGAGAAAUAAUAACAUGUGUAGUAGAUAUUUACUAUCAUAGAUGCAGGCAUCCUGCACGUCUCUUGCUCAACAAUGUUCCUCUCAAGGAACCUCUUGAUGGCCUUGUCCUUUUCAUCCAUUCACAACCCAAAAUUUAAAAAAAAAAAAUUGUGUCAAAUUACAUCAAACAAAAGGCAUAUUAAUUAAUUUUUAAUUGCAAACUUAACAUCAUGAAUUUUUAGUAACUUGGAAGUGAGAAGACGGAAUAAUUAAAUAAUAUUUGUGUUAUAAGAUAUGAUAAAAAUCAAAUGUCUAAUUGUAACUGGUAUUCCUAACCAUCGUGGUAGCGGGGAUGCGCAGAUACCAAUAAACAACUCUAGUCUAGUCUAACUGUAUGAUUUGACCAAUACAUCCGCAAAAUUUAUCAUGACACGAUUUUACAAAAAUAUGGAAGAACUGAAAAAAUGAAUCUUCUUUCCCGUAAUGCCACACAAUUGCCGUUUGUAAUUGUAUACUUUGGGGCAGCAUUUGCCAUCCGACGCUUGAAGGUCUGCCACAGAAAAAAAAUAAAUAUAAUAAAUCAAAUUUAUAUUAAAUAAAAACAAUUCUUCUUUUUUCAAUAAUAAUAUUUUUGGAAAUCAGAAAGAUAAAACAUUUUCGCAAACCAUUCUGUUUUCACACAAAGCUAAUCAGAAAGAUAAAAUAUUUUUGACAACCACGCCUAAUCCAAUCAUCAUUUCUUCUGAAGUUGACAUUGCUGCAUGAGUAAAAAAGAAUAUUGAAAUUGAAUUAUUAAUUUGGAAGAAUAUCAUAACGCAAUUAAACAAAAACUGAAUAUUUUAUCUUUCCUACUCUCUCAAUAAUUUUGACUGCAUACUUUUUCUGAAAAAAAAAAAAAAAAAAAAAACUCAUAUCUAGAUUCAGUCACAAAGCCAAAUCUCUCCAAUCAUACGUCUAUAUUAAGAAACACAAAUAAGAGAUUCCAAGAACUUUCGUAAUGACAAAAAGUAAAUGGACCCAAGUGAUAAAACAAUAUAAUUGAUGGACAAAAGAUAAUUUUUUAUUUGUGUUGCUGACACCGUAGUUUGGUUUACGCUUCCCGACCCAUAAUAUUCAAGUCCAGGUACUUUUGUCAUCCCAUAUAAUUGUCCAUAUUAAAAUAAGGCAUGUUUUAUAUUCUGUGGCAAAUUUUUAAAGCAAAUGAAGUUUACCAAGUCAAAAAGGUGGCUUUAAUCUUCAACCAAUACAACUGCAAAUUUCGAGUUUUCAAACUUUGAAAUUUUGAGCUUUGAAUUUAUUUUUUUCUUUUUUAAACAUCCGGUACCUACCCUUGACAUAUUUUCCUCUCAAUUUUUUUUAAUUCUUCCUCUUUUGUCUUCUUUCUUCAUUUUCCUUUGCCCGGCAUUGACAAAGCACACUUAAAUGUUAUCUAUAUACUGUAUAGACAUUGCUCUGAACUAAACUCUUCAUUCAGAGUCCCCGAGUCGGUUGCAAAAGGGAUGGCCAUGAAUAAUCUUUCAACAGAAUCGACUGCUGCUGUAGCAAUUUCAGCCUUAGUGAUAUUCCUCUCAAUUUUCCACUUGAUUUCAAGAAAUGGGCAAAAAAGGAUACGCAAGAAUAAGCAAUCUCAACAAGCACCGGUAGCAGGGGGAGCAUGGCCUUUGAUAGGCCACCUACAUCUCUUACGAGGGCCAGAGCCAGCUCACAGAGUUUUGGGCAACCUGGCUGACAAAUAUGGAACAAUAUUCACUAUGAAGUUGGGGGUGAAACAAGCUUUAGUGGUGAGCAACUGGGAAAUUGCUAAGGAGUGUUUUACCACAAAUGACAAAGCUUUUGCAAGUCGCCCCAAAAGAAUGGCCGUAGAGCUUAUGGGGUACAACUUUUCGGUCAUAGGCUUCGCACCAUAUGGCAAGUACUGGCGUCAGUCACGUAAGAUAGUGACAAUUGAGCUUCUGUCAAAUCGUCGCCUUGAGAAGCUCAAACACGUACGUGAAUCGGAAGUGAAGGCUUCAAUCCAGAGGUUAUACAAGAAUUGCAUAAGUAGCAGCAGUUCACGUAAAGUAGUUUCGGUGGAGAUGAUCCAUUG